UACGUAGGGUGCAAGCGUUGUCCGGAAUUAUUGGGCGUAAAGAGCUCGUAGGCGGUCUGUCGCGUCUGCUGUGAAAACCCAGGGCUUAACCCUGGGCUUGCAGUGGAUACGGGCAGACUAGAGGCAGGUAGGGGAGAAUGGAAUUCCCGGUGUAGCGGUGAAAUGCGCAGAUAUCAGGAGGAACACCGGUGGCGAAGGCGGUUCUCUGGGCCUGUACUGACGCUGAGGAGCGAAAGCGUGGGGGAGCGAACAGG
rnacentral:rRNA from 1 species